rnacentral:rRNA from 1 species
GACGAACGCUGGCGGCGUGCCUAAUACAUGCAAGUCGAGCGAAGUUUUUCUGGUGCUUGCACUAGAAAAACUUAGCGGCGAACGGGUGAGUAACACGUAAAGAACCUGCCUCAUAGACUGGGACAACUAUUGGAAACGAUAGCUAAUACCGGAUAACAGCAUUAACUGCAUGGUUGAUGUUUAAAAGUUGGUUUUGCUAACACUAUGAGAUGGCUUUGCGGUGCAUUAGCUAGUUGGUGGGGUAAAGGCCUGCCAAGGCGACGAUGCAUAGCCGACCUGAGAGGGUGAUCGGCCACACUGGGACUGAGACACGGCCCAGACUCCUACGGGAGGCAGCAGUAGGGAAUCUUCCGCAAUGGGCGAAAGCCUGACGGAGCAACGCCGCGUGAGUGAAGAAGGAUUUCGGUUCGUAAAGCUCUGUUGUUAGGGAAGAAUGAUUGUGUAGUAACUAUACACAGUAGAGACGGUACCUAACCAGAAAGCCACGGCUAACUACGUG